UAUUAAAAAAAUUAUCCAUUUCGACUGUUAAAAAUUGGUGUGUCUGAUGAAAUAACUAGACAAUUACAUGUGACGUGCCACAUGUACCUCAUGCUAACAUACAUGAACCAAUUUUUAAUAGUAGAUUUGGAUGAAUUUUUAACA
rnacentral:pre_miRNA from 1 species